AGGCCACUGAUUUUCAGCACCUGUCCCAUGCUUCUCACAACGUGUGUGUGCAGCCAGUGGAAGGAAGCUGCUGAUCAUUCUUCUGGUAUGGAGAUGUGAGCGGGUACUGUUUCCUGGGAGACUGCUGGGGAUGUUUUUCAUUGAGAGGACAACAGCAGAGUGGAAGUGUGUGGCAAUCGCUGUUCCUCUGGUGUUCUUUUUCAUGUUUCUUUUGUUUGAUUUUGUUUCCAAGUGUUUAAUCCUUUUUGCUAGCCAGCGCCCAUGAUAAUGCUGAUUAGUUGAUCAGCCUGUGUUCACUUAGUACUCUGGCCUGUGGCGGCGCUGGUUAGUAGCUUUGUAUAUUUGUUUGCCAGGCUAACCCAGCGCCGGAUAUAUGCAUGUUGGGAGGAAGAGGAGGGCUAAUGUUUGCAGUGCCACAUUGUGUGAAGAUUUGAACUUGGUUCUUUGUUUGCACCUGAUCAUCCUUUAUGUGUGGGGUGUUUCUGACCGACAGUGUGUUUAACCCCUUGCUCUGCCUCAGAAGAGUAAAAUAAUUGUUUUAAGUUUGGGGUUAGUCGGUUAACUGUGGGGAAGUUUUA